UGUGUAGCACUGGUCUGUCACAGUGAUAAGCAGCUUGUCCCACGCUCCUCUAUAAUGUUUGAUAAACUCCUUAUGAUACAGACUGUCAUCUUUGAAAUUACAGAAGUGAAUGUGGAAUGGAUCCACCGAUCUUCGAUUGCAACCUUCACUUAAUACUAUUUGUCUCACUGCAUUUGCUACUUCUCUGACAGACAUAUACCUUUCGUACGACAUAUCAAACACUAGAGGCUGGCCAAAGAUCAUAGACUGAGCAACUCUCCAGUUGUAUGUUUUAUCCAUAACGCUGCUCCACAAACAAACAAAUGGAUUCUUCUUGGGCUCUUGAGUCUCUGAAGCUCUCUCUUGUGUUUCCAGCCUCCUUUCCCUUUUCUCAUCCAUCUUUCUUUUGCUAUUUUUCUUGUACAGUUCUUUAAGAUGCAAAUAUUUUAAAUACUUCUUUUUGGCCGAUUUGGAAGGACAUUCCAUAAAAGCUUUUAGCUGUUCUUCACUGAUGUUUUCAGGAACUGGCCGACCAACUAGCCUCCACAACUCCAAAGUCUCACGUGCAGCAGCCAAAGUGGAAAGCUCCUUAGGCUCAGAGACCGUCUGGCUGACUUCUUGCAACCCAGACUUCAUUACUUCCUUCCAUGCAUCUAAAUCUACUUUUUCUGAAGAGCUGCGUGAAUUGUCCUCUUUCAGGCAAGGUGACAGAAUCAGAGUUCUACUAAGUGGAAACAAAUCCUGUUUCAUCCCACGUUGUAUUGGAAAUGAGAAGGCAGAACAUCUUACGAUUUUUUUCAGAAGCAUAUUAGCAGCCUGCAUACUUGAACAUGUGCUGUGCUCAAACAAUCCUCUGCCCGCACUGCGGUCCCGCGCG
rnacentral:lncRNA from 1 species